rnacentral:rRNA from 1 species
GUGGGGAAUCUUGCGCAAUGGGCGAAAGCCUGACGCAGCCAUGCCGCGUGAAUGAUGAAGGUCUUAGGAUUGUAAAAUUCUUUCACCGGGGACGAUAAUGACGGUACCCGGAGAAGAAGCUCCGGCUAACUUCGUGCCAGCAGCCGCGGUAAUACGAAGGGGGCUAGCGUUGCUCGGAAUUACUGGGCGUAAAGGGCGCGUAGGCGGACAGCUUAGUCAGAGGUGAAAGCCCAGGGCUCAACCUUGGAAUUGCCUUUGAUACUGGCUGUCUUGAGUUUGGGAGAGGUGAGUGGAACGCCGAGUGUAGAGGUGAAAUUCGUAGAUAUUCGGAAGAACACCAGUGGCGAAGGCGACUCACUGGCCCAAUACUGACGCUGAGGCGCGAAAGCGUGGGGAGCAAACAGGAUUAGAAACCCGUGUAGUCCC